rnacentral:rRNA from 1 species
GACGUAGGGCGCGAGCGUUGUCCGGAUUUAUUGGGCGUAAAGAGCUCGUAGGCGGCUUGUUGCGUCGGCUGUGAAACCCGUGGCUUAACUGCGGGCUUGCAGCUGAUACGGGCGGGCUAGAGUUCGGUAGGGGAGACUGGAAUUCCUGGUGUAGCGGUGAAAUGCGCAGAUAUCAGGAGGAACACCGGUGGCGAAGGCGGGUCUCUGGGCCGACUGACGCUGAGGAGCGAAAGCGUGGGGAGCAACAGG